GAUGAACGCUGGCGGCGUGCUUAACACAUGCAAGUCGAACGAAGCACUUUAUUUGAUUUCCUUCGGGACUGAUUAUUUUGUGACUGAGUGGCGGACGGGUGAGUAACGCGUGGGUAACCUGCCUUGUACAGGGGGAUAACAGUAGGAAACGGCUGCUAAUACCGCAUAAGCGCACAGCAUCGCAUGAUGCAGUGUGAAAAACUCCGGUGGUAUAAGAUGGACCCGCGUUGGAUUAGCUAGUUGGUGAGGUAACGGCCCACCAAGGCGACGAUCCAUAGCCGACCUGAGAGGGUGACCGGCCACAUUGGGACUGGGACACGGCCCAAACUCCUACGGGAGGCAGCAGUGGGGAAUAUUGCACAAUGGGCGAAAGCCUGAUGCAGCGACGCCGCGUGAGCGAAGAAGUAUUUCGGUAGGUAAAGCUCUAUCAGCAGGGAAGAUCAUGGCGGUACCUGACUAAGAAGCCCCGGCUAAAUACGUG
rnacentral:rRNA from 1 species